rnacentral:snRNA from 1 species
GGAUAUGAGGGCAAUCUGGCUGUGACAUCUGUCACCCCAUUGAUCGCUAGGGUUGACAGGUUGCUGAUCUGGCUGGCUAGACGGGUGUCCCUUUCCUCCCUCAAUGCUCCAUGUGCAUCCCUCCCAAAGCUGCACACUUGGUCAAAGAGGAUGACCACCCCCGAUACAGGAGGACUAUUCCUUGGUCAAGGAUAUACGAGUAGCUGCACUCCCGUGCUAGAACCUCCAAACAAGCUCUGAAGUGAAGGGGAGUCUACUGAGAGGAGUUAAUGGCAAUGUCUUUUACUCUAAUAUGUCACACAUUGACUUUGUACGUGGAAUAUAU